GAUGAACGCUGGCGGCGUGCCUAAUACAUGCAAGUCGAGCGAACAGACGAGGAGCUUGCUCCUCUGACGUUAGCGGCGGACGGGUGAGUAACACGUGGAUAACCUACCUAUAAGACUGGGAUAACUUCGGGAAACCGGAGCUAAUACCGGAUAAUAUAUUGAACCGCAUGGUUCAAUAGUGAAAGACGGUUUUGCUGUCACUUAUAGAUGGAUCCGCGCCGCAUUAGCUAGUUGGUAAGGGAACGGCUUACCAAGGCAACGAUGCGUAGCCGCCCUGAGAGGGUGAUCGGCCACACUGGAACUGAGACACGGUCCAGACUCCUACGGGAGGCAGCAGUAGGGAAUCUUCCGCAAUGGGCGAAAGCUUGACGGAGCAACGCCGCGUGAGUGAUGAAGGUCUUCGGAUCGUAAAACUCUGUUAUUAGGGAAGAACAAAUGUGUAAGUAACUAUGCACGUCUUGACGGUACCUAAUCAGAAAGCCACGGCUAACUACGUG
rnacentral:rRNA from 1 species